UACGAGGGGGGCAAGCGUUGUUCGGAAUUAUUGGGCGUAAAGGGCUCGUAGGCGGUUUGUCACGUCGGGAGUGAAAACUCAGGGCUUAACCCUGAGCCUGCUUCCGAUACGGGCAGACUAGAGGUAUGCAGGGGAGAAUGGAAUUCCUGGUGUAGCGGUGAAAUGCGCAGAUAUCAGGAGGAACACCGGUGGCGAAGGCGGUUCUCUGGGCAUUACCUGACGCUGAGGAGCGAAAGUGUGGGGAGCGAACAGG
rnacentral:rRNA from 1 species